rnacentral:lncRNA from 1 species
GGGUCAGAAGCAUGAUAUUAUAUAUUUUCAGAAUAUGUAAUAGAAUAGAGGGUUUAUAGAUAUUAUGAUCCCACUGCUAAGAAUUUGUCUCCCAAUGUGUUGUAUUUUGUGAAAAGAUAUCCCUCUUCUCACUGCCUAAUGGGUUCUGGCGGUAUCUCUCGUGCAAAAGAAAGAUUGAUUUUUAUUUCACAACAUCAAUUGUUAGAUUUUGUCUU